AGCGAACGCUGGCGGCAGGCUUAACACAUGCAAGUCGAACGCAUCACUUCGGUGGUGAGUGGCAGACGGGUGAGUAACACGUGGGAACGUACCCUUCGAUCUGGGAUAACUUCGGGAAACUGGAGCUAAUACCGGAUACGCCCUUUUGGGGAAAGGUUUACUGUCGAAGGAUCGGCCCGCGUCUGAUUAGCUAGUUGGUGGGGUAACGGCCUACCAAGGCGACGAUCAGUAGCUGGUCUGAGAGGAUGAUCAGCCACACUGGGACUGAGACACGGCCCAGACUCCUACGGGAGGCAGCAGUGGGGAAUAUUGGACAAUGGGGGCAAGCCUGAUCCAGCCAUGCCGCGUGAGUGAUGAAGGCCUUAGGGUUGUAAAGCUCUUUUGUCCGGGACGAUAAUGACGGUACCGGAAGAAUAAGCCCCGGCUAACUUCGUG
rnacentral:rRNA from 1 species